rfam:Geosporobacter subterraneus DSM 17957 genome assembly, contig: EJ58DRAFT_scaffold00074.74
AUAUAAAACAAAAAGUUCACUUAUAUAAAUCUGGCAAUAUGGGCUGGAUGUAUCUACCGAGCUACCGUAAAAAGUUGUAGGCUAUAAGUGUUUUUCUUAUGAGC